GGGGGCGAUCUGGCUUCGACCUGGCAUGGACGCCGGCGGUGGCAUGCCGAGGAUGAUGCGUUGGCCUCGUUAAUCAUCGCAUCAACCAAAACUGCUAACGAAGAGUUGGCUCUCGCAGCCUAAAAUAUGCUGCGACGUUCCGCGGCUGACGCCUGCUAGGCCGCAGGAACGGGAUAGCAGGCUGGGGUUGUACCCGGAGACAGCGCGGGUGCACCCGAGACCUUAAGCAGCUGUCAGGGCAGUUGGAUUCGGGUCCGCAGGUGAUCCAACCGCUGUCUAUCUCUGCGGACUAAGCAUGUAGUCACUUCCGGCUACCGUGUCAGGGACGGGGGUUCGAAUCCCCCCGCCUCCACCA
rnacentral:tmRNA from 1 species